CAUUAUUGCAAUGGAAAAUGUAACUUUCAGCAGCUAUUCCUCUAGUAAUAAGUGUUACAUGACAUUUCAGAAACCACUAAAAUGUGCUGAUUUGGUGCUCAAGAAGCAUUGUUGAGAAGUAAUGAGCUGCUUAUUUUCCUGAAAAGUGAGAAUUUUUUUUUAUUCUAGGAAAAAACACCCCCUCAAUUUGCAUAAUGUUACACCACAGAAUAAUUAUUAUAUGUUCAAUGUAGUUGUUCGCAACAGAAUAAUCAUAAUUUGAAGUGUUUGGAUUAAAAAAUAAACUUAUGUUUUUUUUUUAUUUCUAGACAAGUGGCAUGAGAUGGUCUGCUUGGCUUCAUAAUUUCUAUGGAAACUAUUUAUGACAGCUUAAGGUAUGUCCUCACAGCACUGGCAUCAGCAAUAAUACAAUAUUGAAAACUUGGUACACAGAUUUAAAUGAAUUCACACCGGACAUGAUCUAUUUUUGCACAGUAUAUGUAAACAAUCGGAGGCAACGGGGCAAUACAACACCCCAAAUCAACAGCGAAUUACAUAAAUGCGGUAAUAAAUGUAUUCUGUGUUUUAAACGGGUGUUUACGACCUAUGUCCUUUAAGCCUGAAAAUAUGAGGAGUGCAGAGAGUAACCCUUGUAAGCGUGCUUUCAUCGGCCGGCUAAAGUCUGACAUCGCCCUAUUUUUAACCGGAGGUAUGACGUGUCAAAAUGGAGUACUCAGUCAUAUUUGGGUAGUUUCCCAGUAUUGGUGGACACGUCUUAAAACGCUGAAAUUAAUGAAAAACACAGGUCAAAGCACUUUAACCCGUUUUAUCCUAGGCGUGAGCGCUUGUUUGUGUAGUAAAGUCACACUAUUGUGUAAGUUAACAUUAGGCUAACCUAGUUAAAUCGCAGCAUGACAGCGAGCAACAUUUAUGCCGAAUUACAUGAAAUAACUUUUGCAAUUUUAACGGUUUAUUUAAACCAUGUUUACCUAAACAAGACUUAACUCUUGACAACCAGUGCGUAUUCGAUCAACAAACCGGCCAAGUCAUCAGAUAGCUUAGCAUGCUAAGAGUGCAGCCCGAUAGAUUAGCCGCAUGCAGCUCUGACUGUUUAUAUGUUAUGACGAGUUUGUAAAGUGACAACUACAAAUACACAUUGGAAAAGGAGUUACAAGACGUUUUAUCCAUCAAUUAUGAUCGAUUUAUGCGACAUGUAGCGGUGUAGCACAGUUUCCAUGUCACAAUAGCUAACAGAGCCGUUCCACACUGGCUCCACAUCAAACGUUGCCACGGUCCAACACAAAGUCCGGUUGUGCAUUCCAACACUAAGCGAUGAGUAAAAUACGCUAAAUAAAUAGUGUCACUUUUGAUUAAUAUCAAACAUUCAACAUAAGUUAAAAGCAUUUGUCGUGGCAUGGGGCGCUUACUUGUGGUGUUUCAUACAAGGAUUAUCAAUGAUAAAUAGUCAAGAAAAUACACUUCACAAUAAGUGAAGGCAAAUGUUAAUUGUUUGAAAUUGAUUAUGUGGGUGUACACGCAGACUCGCGCACGUUGGCCGUUUAUGUAUAGGAUUUUCCGACUGCUUCUAUUUAGGGUUCUGGAACGUUUGUGUUUGAACGGGUAUAGAAUUUUCCGUCGCGUUCUAUUCAGGCCACUUGGUGCCGAGUUGGAAUCAGCGGUAAGCGCGAGCCCAGUCUCUGCCAGGCCCACUCACAUGACUGUCAAAGAGCAAUAGGCCUCGUUUCCAGCUAAACUGCAGAAACAAACACCCCUCAGCAACACUAAUAAUGACCCGGGCAUCAAAAGCGAACAGAGCUAACGACGCUCUCCAAACAGUUUGGCCAAAACAUUCGGUUUUGCAAGAUAAACGGGUAGCGGUGAAGUUUCUGAGAUUUGGCCGUCCAUCAUGGCGGACAGGAAAUAACAGAACAAGCUUAAGCUACGAGCAGGAACAUUCCACAGGAGCCGGUUCAUGUUGCUGUGGCAGCGACGGGGCAGAGCUAACUGGCUAUGCUGAUUUCUGAUGGACGCUUUGCUCUUUAAAACGGCCCAAAUGGAGAGAUGGAGCACAGGCCGCCAGUGCUGUGGAUGGUGAGUCAGGGAAUAAAAAAAAAGAUCAGCCCAUCCUCCCCUUACGAGACACAACACCCAUCUUUAACAUAACCUCAUCAAACCUCCAGCAGCCGUGCCAACUAGCAAGGGAAAAAGCAUCCAGGCAUCCAGGACAAACACGAGUACAUGAGCAUCCUCAGGACUGUUUGCUGAGGCUGGGGAUUAAAAGAUGGCCAGCCUUUUUUGGGGACUUGUGUUACAGAUGCAAUAUUCUAGAAAUCACAGAUUUGGAAUCACCAUCACUCCUCUUCAUCCAUUAGUUCUUCAUCUGAUCAGCUGCUGUCUGAGAAUUUCGGCCACUUUAGAAAGGAUCACUAUCAGUCAAUAAAAGCUGGAAAUUCAGCUGCCAGUUGAAUAGGGAUUGUCAGAUAAUUAAAGACUUUUCUGCUGAUAGGAAUCUCUAAUUUUGAUCAUGUGUUUGUUUGGAACAUCUCA
rnacentral:lncRNA from 1 species